rnacentral:sRNA from 1 species
AUCUCUCACUGGACAUCCCAGCACAACGAAAUGCGUCAAAAGUUCGACUUUCCGAUUGUUUAAGCACAUUUUUCAAGUUAGAAAUGCUGGAAAAAGGCGAAAAACCGGAAUGCGCCAAGUGUAAAACGAAACAAACGUGCUCAAAGCAAAUGUUUAUUAGGAAAUUGCCACAGGUAGCCGGGAAAAGUGGCAAAAAUGACAUUUUUGCCCAUUUUUAACGGAAUUUUACAUGAAAAAUUACUGAAAAUCGCUGAAAAUCGCUGAAAAACGUCGAAAUUCCAAAUUUUUAGCUUGAAAAAUGGCAAAAAUCUGAGAAAUACGGCAUUUUUGUCGAUUUUUUACCCUAUUUUUCAUGAAAAACGACUGAAAAACGUCGAUUUUUAGCCAAGUUUGGGCUAAAAUCGCUGAAAUUCCCAAUUUUUUGCCGGAAAAAAGGCAAAAAUCGGAGAGAUUUCCAGCCGGAAAUGUAGCAAAAAUCUGAGAAAAAGCUGAUUUUCAGGCAUUUUCCGACUGAAAAACCAUGGAAAUUGAGAAAAUUAGCCGUUUUUAUCGAAAUUUCUGAUGAAAAAUCGAGAAAAGUGGCCGAAAAACGCUGAAAAUCCCGAUUUUUUCGAGUUUUCACCAAUUUUCUGUCCAAAAAUGCAAAAAUUCCUAAUUUUCUAGAUUUUUUCACCGGAAAAAAACUAGAAAAUCCAGGUUUUCAACCAAAAAAUUGCUAGAAAUUGACGAUUUUUGAGCAAAUUUCUAGAAAAAAGUCUCAAAAAAUCCAUUUUUUCGAUCAAAAAUUACUGAAAUCAUGAGAAUUUUCAGUUUUUCUAUCUAAAUUUUGAAUAUUUUCAGGUUCUCUGCCUCCAUAUGAAGCGAUUUCGGGAUAAUGGUGGAAAAAAUGAUGCGAUUAUCGAUUUUCCGAUGGGACAACUCGAUGUUACGCAAUUUUUGACCGAUGUACGGCGUUUUUUUAGUGGAAAAAUUGGAUUUUACACUGAAAAAAUGGAGAAAAUCGCCUGAAAACGUCUAAAAAUUGACUUUUUUUUUGUGAAAAAACUGAUUUUUAGACAGAAAAACGCGAAAAUUCAAGGUUUCAGCAAUUUUUCAGCUGAAGAAUCGAUUUUAAGCCAAUUUUUCUGUCUGAUAACACCCAAAAUUCCUGAUUUUCAGCUUUUUUAGAGCUAAAAAUUUUAAAAUUCCCAGAUUUUCGGUCGAAAUUGCUCAAAAAAUCAAUUUUUGAGACCUUUUUUCUCAGGAAAAACCCCAAAAAUUGUCAAUUUUAAGCCUAAAAUUACUGAAUCGACUGAAAACGAUGAUUUUCAGAUUUAAAAUGCUGAAAAUGUUCUGGAAAUCGAUAAAAAUGAACUUUUUCGUGGAAAAUAGCUGAAUUUCCAGGUGUUUUUCAGCCAAAAACAAUGAAAAAUUGGAAAUUUCUGCCUUUUUUCCAAUAGAAAAUCUGAUUUUUCACUAAAAAAAUACAAUUUUAAGCCGAUUUUUCUGUAAAAAAACGCUUCAAACUUAACAAAUUACUGUAUUUUUAGCGAAAAAUUACCUAAAAAUUCCGGAUUUUCUGCUUUUUUACAGCUAAAAUUCCCAGAUUUUGAUUCGGUCGAAAUCGUCCGAUAAAAAUUAAUUUUUCGAUCCAUUUUUCCAAGAAAAACUCCAAAAAUCACAAAUUUUUAACCUAAAAUUUCUGAAAUUUCAGGAUAGCGACGAGGCACCGUGUACCUACAGCCUUCAAUCAAUAAUUGUUCAUAUUGGAUAUGGG